rnacentral:lncRNA from 10 species
CUCAAACCAUCUGCCCACCUGGGCCUCCCAAAGUGCUGAAAUGACAGGCAUGAGCCACUGUGCCUGGCCAUCCCAAGAAUGUUUGGAGUGUUCAGGGUCAGUGCAGACUCUUGUUAACUCCCUAAGUUCAUCCCAUUAUAAGUUCACCCCUGGACAUUGCACAAACGCUUCUCAAAUUCCUCCCAGAUCUUACUUGCCUCAUUUGCAUGUGGUUUAUGGUAUUGGUGACACGAGGGUCCUAGAAUGAAGGUAAUCUGUAACAAUAGCUUCACGGUUCCAUGUGCUGGAAUAGUAAUUGCAUUCUAGGCUCAGCCAUGCUUGUGGUUACACAAACAUCAACACUUUGCAACCUCCUACUCCUUAUCUUGUGUGUCUGUCAAGCAUCUCCUCAGAGUUCAUUGACUUCAGUGAUUUGAUGUCUACUAACUAACCCGAGAUACUUCCCUCCUGUCAUAAAUAGUUUUACUGUAUGGGCCAAAUGCAAUGCAGUGUCUCACACCUGUAAUCCUAGCACUUUGGGUGGCCGAGGGGGACGGACCACCUGAGGUCAAGAGUUGGAGACCAGCCCGGCCAACAUGGUGAAAUGGUGCCUCUACUAAAAAUACAGAAAUUAGCUGGGCGUGGUGGCAGGCGCCUUUAAUCCCAGCUUCUCAGGAGGCUGAGACAAGAGAAUUGCUUGAACUUGGGAGGUGGAGGUUGCAGUGAGCCGAGAUUGAGCCACUGCAUUUCAGCCUGGGGAAUGGGACAAGAUCCUUGUCUCAAAUAAAUAAAUAAAUAAAUAAAAUAAAAUAAAAUAAAGGGCCAG